UACGUAGGGUGCGAGCGUUAAUCGGAAUUACUGGGCGUAAAGCGUGCGUAGGCGGUUCGCUGUGUCCGAUGUGAAAGCCCCGGGCUUAACCUGGGAAUGGCAUUGGAAACUGGCGGGCUUGAGUGCGGCAGAGGGGGGUGGAAUUCCGCGUGUAGCAGUGAAAUGCGUAGAGAUGCGGAGGAACACCGAUGGCGAAGGCAAUCCCCUGGGCCUGCACUGACGCUCAUGCACGAAAGCGUGGGGAGCAAACAGG
rnacentral:rRNA from 1 species